rnacentral:rRNA from 1 species
UAAUACGGAGGAUGCGAGCGUUAUCCGGAUUCAUUGGGUUUAAAGGGUGCGCAGGCGGCUCGGCAAGUCAGCGGUGAAAGCCCGGGGCCCAACCCCGGAAGUGCCGUUGAUACUGUCGGGCUGGAAUGCGGAUGCUGUGGGAGGAAUGAGUAGUGUAGCGGUGAAAUGCAUAGAUAUUACUCAGAACACCGAUUGCGAAGGCAUCUCACGAAACAGGCAUUGACGCUGAGGCACGAAAGCGUGGGGAUCAAACAGGAUUAGAUACCCUGGUAGUCCACGCAGUAAACGAUGAUGACUAACCGCUGGCGAUACAGUGUAGGUGGCCAAGCGAAAGCGAUAAGUCAUCCACCUGGGGAGUACGACCGCAAGGUUGAAACUCAAAGGAAUUGACGGGGGCCCGCACAAGCGGAGGAACAUGUGGUUUAAUUCGAAGCAACGCGAAGAACCUUACCAGGUCUUGACAUGCCCCUGACAGCUCCGUAAUGGGAGUCUUCCUUCGGGACAGGGGACACAGGUGGUGCAUGGUUGUCGUCAGCUCGUGUCGUGAGAUGUUG